GCAGUGUUGCCACGCUGAAGCGCCCGUCGGAAAGGGAUCAGCGUGGUGAUGGUGGGCAAUCUCCGCCCUCUCGGGCCUAGCCGGGCCGGAUCGGGGCGGUACGUGCCGCUACGCGUUCGGCGUCCAGGAGUAGCCGCUCCUGGGCGCCGUCG
rfam:Streptomyces yokosukanensis strain DSM 40224 genomic scaffold PRJNA299221_s025, whole genome shotgun sequence.